AAAAGUGCUGAAUGGAGUUACUUUUCAGGCAUUGCAACAUGCCGAACAAUUACCUAUUCCCUUAUCGUCGUUUUUUUACAUACUUUGUGUUUAUUUCUUCCAAGGAAACCCCGUGGUUACUAGAAAAACGAACUUGUCUGUUUGCAGCUAAAAACCCAGCUUGAAAACGAACCGAGGGUCCUGCGGCGACAGAAAAGCGGCCAGUUUGAA